rnacentral:snoRNA from 1 species
CAGAGAUGAUGACAGCUUUUCACUUUCCCGAACUCUCGUGUGGGCUUACGAUAGUCAAGUGCUGAUCUGG